rnacentral:lncRNA from 1 species
AGAAUGCAAUCCCGUGAAGCCAGGAGCAGAGUCUCUCGUCUUCACUGCUGUGGUCUCAACACUUAAAACAGUGCUUGCAUGAGAAACAGAAGAGGAGAAGACACAGACACACAGGAAAAGGCCAAGUGAAGACUCAUGGGAAGAUGGAGGCCACUAUUAGAAUUAUGCUUCCACAAGCCAAGGAACACCUGGAGUCACCAGAAGAGACAAGGAAGGAUUCUCCCUAAGAGCGUCCAGAAGGAACAAAUCCUGCCAACAUGUUGAUUUGAGACUUCUGACCCCCAGAACUAUAUGAGAUGCUGCACAGCAUGGCUUGAUGAGUGGUAUGUAGGUCUGCUCCUGGGAUCCGAACCCACAAACCCCGGGCCGCUGAAGCAGAGCAUGUGAACCCAACCACUACACCACCAGGCCAACCCCCAAGGAUACCACUUUUGACUGCUCACCAUGUGAUGACACUGUGCUGAGUGUGGUGGUAUAUCCUCGCCUAAAUUGCCACAUCAUUCUCAACAGUAGCUGCCUCGACCUCCCCAUGUUACAGGUGGACUUCUUGAAAGAGGAGUCAACAUUUAUUGGGUGUGUCUACUGCUUCAUAUCUCAUUCACCCUUAGUUGCUUUCAAUGAGGCAAGCUCUUUUCUCACACCACUAUAACUCCC